rnacentral:rRNA from 1 species
CCAAUUGCGAAGGCAGCUCACGGGAGUGUUACUGACGCUUAAGCUCGAAGGUGCGGGUAUCAAACAGGAUUAGAUACCCUGGUAGUCCGCACGGUAAACGAUGGAUGCCCGCUGUUGGCAAAUUUGUCAGCGGCUAAGCGAAAGCGUUAAGCAUCCCACCUGGGGAGUACGCCGGCAACGGUGAAACUCAAAGGAAUUGACGGGGGCCCGCACAAGCGGAGGAACAUGUGGUUUAAUUCGAUG